rnacentral:misc_RNA from 1 species
CUAUAUUAAUAUUUAAAAUAAUUAUAAUUUAUAUUAAAAUUUUGUCGAUAGAAUUUUAAAAAAUUAUUAUUACUAAUAGUUAUGAUAACCAUAAAAAUGACUUCUACCAAUUAUUUUACCAUGCAGUUAUAGUCACAAGUGCCAAAUAUACUAUUUUUACUUAAUACGCAAUUUUUAUUUCAAUUUAUAAAUCAUUUCAAAUUAUUUCGCAGCCCUGCACUGAAAGAAAAAUAAUAUUCAGAAUUAUCAUGACAUAAUAAAAAAAAUGUUGCAACAUUUCAGUAACAUUUACCAUAAAAAUAAUAUGCCAAACUUCUUUUAUCAUGCCAUUACAUAGUUCCAAAUAUGAUACAUUUUUUCUCUCAGUGCAAGGCAGUGUGGAAAGUCUUUUCAAAACAAUCCACUCGAAAACUUUUCUCGUACAAGUCGCCGCGAAUUCUCCGCCGGGAACGUUCGAGACGGGGUUGCGAACUCCGUACUCCCGGUAGGUCGUCGCGUCUAUAACGUUGGUAUUCACACGCUCGUGCGUUUCUGCGCGCAGCACCGUCAGCGGCGGAAUGCAGAUGAGUACAGGUUGCACUUCGGUGCAUUACACAGGCGCGCGCGAGACGUAGGUACGCCUUGGGUCUUUUUUUUUUUGCGUUGCGUCGGAAAGAAACACGCGAAGAAUUCGAGCGCGCAGAAAAACCCGACGCUCCGCGCGACUCGUUGCGUAAGAGGAAGUUCACGAAGUUUACGUAUGCACGCGGUUAAGUGUUGCGCAUUGCGAAACCCUUGAAAAAGCUCUUCUGAUCGUCAACACGACGAGUCGCCUAUAUAGCCGUCGGUCGGUCGGUUUUAGCUGGAAUUCAGCUUGCUCAUUCCUCAUCGAUCGACGCUUGUUGCCGAUCAUAAUUCAUCCCGUUUUCCAUCCGAGGAUGCGCGUCGACAUUUCAAGGACGCAUAAAAAUUGUGUAGAAAUGACAUGGCAAACAAUGAUGAUAUUUUAUGCGCUGUGAUUCAACAUAGGAUGGUACCGAAGCUAUUGUGUGUCAUCUUUCAGAUACAAAUUCCAACUUUUUUUCCUGAUAAGCCGUCGGCUUCGGGUCAUCCAGCCGCCCUUAAUUCCACGGACGGUCGAUUCCGGGAUUCCUCUUCAAUGAUUACGCGAAUGAGGAUCAACGGUGACUUAGUGACAAUUCCUGUUGGUAACAUGCGACGACAUGCCAGCGUCCAUCGCCGCGUCCGUUCUUCCAGGAACCGAACGAGGGAGAGCCGUCCAGUUCCGCGAAAAAAGUAUGCCCGGUAUGAGACCACCGCGAGAUAUGGCGGAAGCAGCUAAAUGCUUAAACGCUCGAAAGCCAGGCUUAAAUGCCGCUGAUUGCAGUAGGAGGGAAAUGAGAGGUUGCACGAUGAACGACGAUAUGUAAUUCCGUAUCUCCAUUCUUGAAGGCGGUGGUCAACGCGACGGCGCACGUUGGUACUCCAGUAUCGAAUACUCGUCCCGCACAAUCUUUGCGCCAAUCUUCGAUUUCAUUCUUCCUCUGAGAAAUCGAGUAAUACUAACUGGAAAACAAUUUCAAUAAUUCGGAUAGACGUGAGAAAAGCGGUGCGAAGAUCAUCCUGUGAAUUGUCCCAUGAAUUAUCUCAAAUAUUUCUUUUCAAAGAUAAGCUGAAGGAAUUCUUUACCAGAAGAAGCGAAGGAAGAUAUUUAACAGCACAGAAUGAUGGGACGAAAAUUUUCCUCCGAGAUCAGAUAGGCCAUGACCAGCGCAGGGUGCAUCUGGUUUUCUAAUUGCAAUUAACGUGAAAAAAGUUAAGAGUAAAUUAAAAAUAAAAUAAUGUGAUACAAUAUUUCAUGAAAUAAAAGGGAGUGCCCUUUCUUGAUCGAAGCUUGUUGCUUAAUAUUUUUAUAUAAAUUAUUAAAUAUUUUUUAUAUAAAU